rnacentral:rRNA from 1 species
UACGUAGGGUGCAAGCGUUGUCCGGAAUUAUUGGGCGUAAAGAGCUCGUAGGCGGCUUGUCGCGUCGGUUGUAAAAGCCCGGGGCUUAACCCCGGGUCUGCAGUCGAUACGGGCAGGCUAGAGUUCGGUAGGGGAGAUCGGAAUUCCUGGUGUAGCGGUGAAAUGCGCAGAUAUCUGGAGGAACACCGGUGGCGAAGGCGGCAUCCUGGACCGAUAUUGACGCUGAGGCGCGAAAGCCAGGGGAGCAAACGGG